rnacentral:tRNA from 1 species
GGUCUCUUAGUUUAACGGUAAAACUAUGGAUCUUCAUUCCGUCGUUGGGAGUUCAAUUCUCCCAGAGAUCA